rnacentral:tRNA from 1 species
AGACGCGUAGCUCAGCUUGGUUAGAGCACCACCUUGACAUGGUGGGGGUCGUUGGUUCGAGUCCAAUCGCGUCUACCA